UGCAAGUCGAACGCGGUUAGUAGCAAUACUAACUGAGUGGCGAACGGGUGAGUAACACGUGGGUGACCUACCUUCGAGUGGGGGAUAACGUCCCGAAAGGGACGCUAAUACCGCAUGACAUCCUCUUUUUGAACAGAGAGAGAUCAAAGCCGGGGAUCGCAAGACCCGGCGCUUGAUGAGGGGCUCGCGUCUGAUUAGCUAGUUGGUGGGGUAAUGGCUCACCAAGGCGACGAUCAGUAUCCGGCCUGAGAGGGCGGACGGACACACUGGGACUGAGACACGGCCCAGACUCCUACGGGAGGCAGCAGUGGGGAAUUGUUCACAAUGGGCGCAAGCCUGAUGACGCAACGCCGCGUGGAGGAUGAAGGUCUUCGGAUUGUAAACUCCUGUUGCUCGGGAAGAAUAGCUCCGACCUAAUACGUCGGAGUGUGACGGUACCGGGUGAGGAAGCCCCGGCUAACUCUGUGCCAGCAGCCGCGGUAAUACAGAGGGGGCAAGCGUUGUUCGGAAUUACUGGGCGUAAAGGGCGCGUAGGCGGCCUGUUAAGUCGAACGUGAAAUCCCCGGGCUCAACCCGGGAACUGCGUCCGAUACUGGCAGGCUUGAAUCCGGGAGAGGGAUGUGGAAUUCCAGGUGUAGCGGUGAAAUGCGUAGAUAUCUGGAGGAACACCGGUGGCGAAGGCGGCAUCCUGGACCGGUAUUGACGCUGAGGCGCGAAAGCCAGGGGAGCAAACGGGAUUAGAUACCCCCGGUAGUCCUGGCCCUAAACGAUGAAUGCUUGG
rnacentral:rRNA from 1 species